rnacentral:tRNA from 1 species
GCUCUCGUAGCUCAGUGGUAGAGCACUCCCUUGGUAAGGGAGAGGUCGUGCGUUCAAUCCGCAUCGAGAGCUCCA